AUGCGCGCGAAAAGGCGCCAGCUCGCGCGCAAGAUUUGGCGCGCCGCUUCGCGCGCGCCUAUAAAAGUGUUGCGCGUGCUACGCGCCUUCUCCACGCUUUCUCUUCUCCUCUUCCUCUCCCUCUCUGCCACGCGCCGCUCCAGCGCCCCGCCACCGCCGCGCCGCCGAGGAGCGUCUGGCUACCGCGACGUCCGCCUGCGCCCCAACGGCAGCUACUCCGCGGAGAUACGCUCCGGCGAACUCCGGCUCGGCCUCGGCACAUACGGGACGGCGCGCGAGGCCGCCCGCGCGUACGACGCGGCGGCGUGGCGCCUAGGCUUGCCGCGCGGCCAGAUGAACUUCCAAGAUGUGUACACGCUCCAGCAAGCGCUCAACUUCGCCCCGCUGCCUCGUCUGAACACGGCAGAAGACCGUGCGGAGCACGCCGAGCGGCAACGCCGCCUCCUCGUCGCCCAGGAGGACGAGCGGGUCAUGGCGGAGUGA
rnacentral:rRNA from 1 species